GUGGCUGAAAUGGGAUCUGCUCGUGAUUC
rnacentral:piRNA from 1 species